GGAGUGAACCGGGAGACCGCCGGUUUGCCUUGUGCAAACGGGAGGAAAGUCCGGGCACCAAUGGACAGGGUGGUGGGUAACGCCCACCGAUCGUGAGAUUAGGGAAAGUGCCACAGAAAACAUACCGCCGAUGGGAGUGGUUAGCGUUUUGCAAUUAGCGAAUGAAUUUCUUGCUAAUGGUUAAACGCUAACCACUCCACAGGCAAGGGUGAAAAGGUGCGGUAAGAGCGCACCAGCAGACGGGGUGACUCGUUUGGCUUGGUAAACCCCACCCGGUGCAAGGCCAAACAGAGGGCAGAGUUCGUCCGACUCGUUACGACCCUCGGGUAGGCCGCUAAAGGCCGCGGGUAACCGUGGACGUAGAUGAAUGGUCGCCAAUCCACUUCGGUGGAUCACAGAACCCGGCUUAUAGGUUCUCUCCGGAU
rnacentral:RNase_P_RNA from 1 species